UACGGAGGGUGCAAGCGUUAUCCGGAAUUACUGGGCGUAAAGGGCGUGUAGGCGGCCAACUAAGUCCGACGUGAAAUCCCCAGGCUUAACCUGGGAACUGCGUCGGAUACUGGAUGGCUUGAAUCCGGGAGAGGGAUGCAGAAUUCCAGGUGUAGCGGUGAAAUGCGUAGAUAUCUGGAGGAAUACCGGUGGCGAAGGCGGCAUCCUGGACCGGCAUUGACGCUGAAGCGCGAAAGCUAGGGGAGCAAACGGG
rnacentral:rRNA from 1 species